GGUGGGCGCAGUGGCACGUGCCUGUAGUCCCAGCUACUCGGCAGGCUGAGGCUGGAGGAUCGCUUGAGCCCAGGAGUUCUGGGCUGUAGUGCGCUAUGCCGAUCGGGUGUCUGCAUUAAGUUCGGCAUCAAUAUGGUGACCUCCCGGGAGCGGAGCACCACCAGGUUGCCUAAGGAGGGUUGAACCAGCCCAGUUCGGAAUCGGAGCAGGUCAAAACUCCCAUGCUGAUCAGUACUGGGAUCACGCCUGUGAAUAGCCACUGCACUCCAGCCUGGGCAACAUAGCGAGACCUCAUCUCU
ensembl:misc_RNA Metazoa_SRP Metazoan signal recognition particle RNA